rfam:Oscillatoria nigro-viridis PCC 7112, complete genome.
GGGGCUAUAGCUCAAUGGAAGAGCGCUUUCUCUGCAGGGAAGAAGUUGGAGGUUCAAAUCCUCUUAGCCCCC